GAUGAACGCUAGCUACACGCUUAACACAUGCAAGUCGAGGGGAAACGACAUCGAAAGCUUGCUUUUGAUUUGCGUCGACCGGCGCACGGGUGAGUAACGCGUAUCCAACCUGCCCACCACUUGGGGAUAACCUUGCGAAAGUAAGACUAAUACCCAAUGAUAUCUCUAGAAGACAUGUGAAAGAGAUUAAAGAUUUAUCGGUGAUGGAUGGGGAUGCGUCUUAUUAGCUGGUUGGCUGAGUAACGGCCCACCAAGGCAACGAUCAGUAGGCGGUCGGGGAGAAAGGUACCCCGCAUGAGAAGUGAGACGGCGUCAAUACGACUACGGGAGGAAGCAGUGACGAACAUUAGGCAGCGGACGAGAAUAUGACCCAGCCAAGUAGAGCGUAGGAAGACGGCCCUAUGGGUUGUAAACUGCUUUUAUAAGGGAAAACAGUGAGCGUCGUGAGACUUUUUGAAUGUACCUUAUGAAUAAGGACCGGCUAAUUACGUG
rnacentral:rRNA from 1 species